UGGGGAAUAUUGCACAAUGGGCGCAAGCCUGAUGCAGCCAUGCCGCGUGUGUGAAGAAGGCCUUCGGGUUGUAAAGCACUUUCAGCGAGGAGGAAGGUGGUGAACUUAAUACGUUCAUCAAUUGACGUUACUCGCAGAAGAAGCACCGGCUAACUCCGUGCCAGCAGCCGCGGUAAUACGGAGGGUGCAAGCGUUAAUCGGAAUUACUGGGCGUAAAGCGCACGCAGGCGGUUUGUUAAGUCAGAUGUGAAAUCCCCGGGCUCAACCUGGGAACUGCAUUUGAAACUGGCAAGCUAGAGUCUCGUAGAGGGGGGCUAGAAUUCCAGGUGUAGCGGUGAAAUGCGUAGAGAUCUGGAGGAAUACCGGUGGCGAAGGCGGCCCCCUGGACGAAGACUGACGCUCAGGUGCGAAAGCGUGGGGCAGCAAACAGGAUUAGAUACCCUGGUAGUCCACGCUGUAAACGAUGUCGAUUUUGGAGGUUGUGCCCUUGAGGCGUGGCUUCCGGAGCUAACGCGUUAAAGUCGACCGCCUGGGGAGUACGGCCGCAAGGUU
rnacentral:rRNA from 1 species